AGACCACCACAGUGACUUGCAAGCAACUCACUGCACUUAGGCACUGGACUACUUGAAUUUUUAAUUCAGUGACGGAAGGCUGCUGGGUGUAGUCAAGUACUUGACUUAUCGGUGCAUGUGUCAAGAUGGGAUUGACCACUCCAAUUUAGGAGCUGUGUACAGUCGUGUUUCAAUUUAGCAAAAUCUUGACCAGGAUAGUCCUUGUGAGGAGUCACAGGACUGUUUGAGUUGAGCAUGAUUCGGAUGAUCUAAUCAGGGUUGACAGUUUAACCCUGAGUCGUCCUAA
rnacentral:lncRNA from 1 species